rnacentral:rRNA from 1 species
CUACUGGUCGCUGCAGUGGGGGAUAUUGCACAAUGGGCGAAAGCCUGAUGCAGCAACGCCGCGUGAAGGAUGACGGAUUUCGGUCUGUAAACUUCUAUCAGCAGGGAAGAAAAUGACGGUACCUGACUAAGAAGCCCCGGCUAACUGCGUGCCAGCAGCCGCGGUAUACGUAGGGGGCAAGCGUUAUCCGGAAUUACUGGGUGUAAAGGGUACGUAGGCGGCUGAUCAAGUCAGAUGUGAAAGCCCGGAGCUCAACUCCGGGAUUGCAUUUGAAACUGGUCGGCUAGAGUGCAGGAGAGGAAAGUGGAAUUCCUAGUGUAGCGGUGAAAUGCGUAGAUAUUAGGAAGAACACCAGUGGCGAAGGCGGCUUUCUGGACUGUAACUGACGCUGAGGUACGAAAGCGUGGGGAGCGAACAGGAUUAGAUACCCCGGUAGUC